rnacentral:rRNA from 1 species
UACGUAGGGGGCAAGCGUUGUCCGGAUUUAUUGGGCGUAAAGAGCGUGUAGGCGGCCUGAAAGGUCAGCUGUGAAAACUCGAGGCUCAACCUCGAGACGUCGGUUGAAACCGUACGGCUAGAGUCCGGAAGAGGAGAGUGGAAUUCCCGGUGUAGCGGUGAAAUGCGCAGAUAUCGGGAAGAACACCCGUGGCGAAGGCGGCUCUCUGGGACGGUACUGACGCUGAGACGCGAAAGCGUGGGGAGCGAACAGG